UAAGGCAGUGCUGGGAGAGGUCCACUCAGAUAGACUCUCUGAGGCUUUUUGCCAAUAACGAGCACCACCUUGCAUGUGAGUACUCUAGCCCAAGGCCAAGCCUUCAGGUAACCACAGUUCUGAUCAACACCUGGAUUACGAUUUCUUGAGUGACCCCACGCUAGAACCAUCCAGCCAAGCCGCUCCCAAAUUCCUGGUCCACAGAAACUGGUACACUGUGAUCAGGGAAGAUUUCAGGAACCUCCAAAAAUGAGAGGGGAAGGAAUGGCUGCUUCCCUUCUAGCUGACAGUCCUGGUCUAGAGAAUCAUCCUGACAGCCCCCCUUUCUCACCGAAGGUGGCACAGUAUGAUGGUUUGUCUGGACUGAAGAUCUGUACUCUGCCCAACCCUGCACCACCACUGAGCUGCUGUGGCCCUGGACAAGUUACUUAGCCUCCCCAAGCCUUAGUUUCUCCAUAGAGAAAAUUGAGAUAAACUUCAUUGUGUUACUAUUCAAUAAAAUAGCCUACACUGGGUUUUGGCACAGAGCCUAUUCACUACAUGUUACACUGUAUUAUUUUCCUUCAUAGAGGAGACAGAUGCAGAGUGAGAUGUGAAGCUGUGUUCUUCCUCUGGAUGCUGGAAGAAGCAGCAGGUCUCUUCUUUCACUUACUGCACACAGUUUUAAAAGCUCUUUUGGGGUAGCCCAGGUGGC